rnacentral:rRNA from 1 species
GAUGAACGCUGGCGGCGUGCUUAACACAUGCAAGUCGAGCGGACCUCUUCGGAGGCCAGCGGCGGACGGGUGAGUAACACGUGGGCAACCUGCCUGUAAGACUGGGAUAACACCGGGAAACCGGUGCUAAUACCGGAUAAUCCUUCCUGACUCAUGUCGGGAAGCUGAAAGACGGCAUCUCGCUGUCACUUACAGAUGGCCUCGCGGCGCAUUAGCUAGUGGGUGGGGUAACGGCCCACCAAGGCGACGAUGCGUAGCCGACCUGAGAGGGUGAUCGGCCACACUGGGACUGAGACACGGCCCAGACUCCUACGGGAGGCAGCAGUAGGGAAUCUUCCGCAAUGGACGAAAGUCUGACGGAGCAACGCCGCGUGAGCGAAGAAGGCCUUCGGGUCGUAAAGCUCUGUUGUCAGGGAAGAACAAGUAUCGGAGUAACUGCCGGUACCUUGACGGUACCUGACCAGAAAGCCACGGCUAACUACGUGCCAGCCGCCGCAGUAA